AUUGAACGCUGGCGGCAGGCUUAACACAUGCAAGUCGAGCGAGCGGCGGACGGGUGAGUAAUGUCUGGGAAACUGCCUGAUGGAGGGGGAUAACUACUGGAAACGGUAGCUAAUACCGCAUACCAUCAGAUGUGCCCAGAUGGGAUUAGCUAGUAGGUGGGGUAAUGGCUCACCUAGGCGACGAUCCCUAGCUGGUCUGAGAGGAUGACGAGCCACUCUGGAACUGAGACACGGUCCAGCCCCCUACGGGAGGCAGCAGUGGGGAAUAUUGGCAAAUGGGCGAAAGCCUGAUGCAGCCAUGCCGCUUGUGUGAAGAAGGCCUUCGGUUUGUAAAGCACUUUCAGCGAGGAGGCGUUACUCGCAGAAGAAGCACCGGCUAACUCCGUGCCAGCCGCCGCGGUAAUUC
rnacentral:rRNA from 1 species